GCGCCCUCCGCCAAGCCCAGCCUCCUCGUCACGUCCACGCAGCACAAGCGCGCCGCCCCGGAGGUCACCGCCACCGAGCAGCUCAUCCUGCAGGAGAAGGAGAUGAUCGAGAACCUCGCCGACGGCCGACCGCAAGUCGCUCAUGUCCGUGCAGGAGCUCGCCAAGGGGAUCACCUACACCGAGCCGCUCCGCACCGGCUGGAAGCCGCCGCUGCGCCUCCGCCGCAUGCCGCGCGCCAAGGCCGACGAGCUCAGCUGAUCUCUCUCCAACGAACUACGACGAUGAACGUCGGAUCCGUACUCCUCCUACCCGUGACGGACCCUCUGGAUCCGAGAAGCUUGUUGAUCUGGGCUUCGUCCGAAGCGUCGAGCGGUGCCGCUGGUUUGAGAUUGGAGUUGUUUGGGAGUGACCUGGAGAAGCAGGGAGAGUCAGGCAUCCUGGCGGCUGGAGUUUGUUGAGAGGUGGUAUCCUGCACACUGACAUAGUCAGUGGUCUCGACGACAACAGCGGUGGGACAGCACUACUGCAACCCCAGCGUAUCAAGUGGCCGCUGCCAUGUGUCGGUGGUGGGCUCGCCACAACCACGGUGGCUCUUGUUCGGCUACAAGCAACCCUACUGUAUGUGCUCUUGGUUCUCCCUGUGUUCUAUGCUAGACAUUCUUGAUCGUGAUGACAUGUUUGUAUGCCCCUGUGACACGUGAGAUAGUAGAUAGUUACAUUACAUCAUGUUGAUCUUUAUGACCAUAAUAGCUGAUUCAUGUACAUGCUUGUGCCUUAAUGUUGUCGAUGUGGUGAUGCACUUAGUAAUGCAAAUGACUUUUAAGAGCUGUAGUAAAUUAACUGCAUUUCGUGUACUUAGAUGGAGUUACAUUUGUAGCUUUGCUUAUUUAGGAAGACCGUGAUCUUAUUUUCGUAUUGACUGACGAGUUAGUCCUUUAUUGCUGCGUUCAGUUUGGAGGUGCACUGAGAAGUGCAACAGAGGAUAAAUUUACAGCAUUUUGUGUUCUAUGGAAUUACAUUUCUAGUUUUGCUUAUUUAGGAAGAACCGUAAUGGUUGUAUGGUAAUUUAAUUACAUACAUCUAGUUAUAAAAAGCUGAUGAGUCAUGAUGCAUGUGUGUACUCUUCAAGAUCAUAGUAGCAGGAAUUUAAUUGAUUUAGUCAGACGGUCGUUGAACGAACUUUGUAAGUUUAACUAGCUUGCACAAAGAUAAUGGAAUGCAGAGACAACUACUUCCACUCUUCAAAACUGCAUUCCAUAUGGUUCUGUCCGUACCAUAUUUCCUACUAUUGUUUUUUACUCUUUCUUUGUUUCUUUGUUAAGUAGUAGUAGCACUUCUUGCAAAAAGAGCUUUAGCUUGACCAGAGGCAUGCUGCCGGCGGGUUACGCCCCUGUUCCCAGCCCAGCCCUCUCUCUGUUGUAUCCUUCGCCGGCGAUAACCACCGGUGAACAAAAUAAACCAACGCCGUCAACAUGCCAUAGUAGCGAGAUGGUAAGUACGUACUGUGCAUAGGAAAGAAGCUGGGGUGACUGGAGCUUUGUAUCCCAUCCGUCCUUCCGUGAUCAAUAGCCCGUCCAGUAUACAUACAUACUGCCAGUGUAUAUAGAGAUUAUAGAUUCACGAAUUCAAUUGUAACAUCAUUAUGCAAUUCUAUGUUAUGGGAAAUAGUUAUUCAUAUCUAUGCCUGUUGGCUGGCACCAACGAGACAUUAGUGUCACCUAUCCUAUCCUGUAUGUACAUGUCGUACUCGUACCUUGUGCUACUUAGUGCAAUCAGCUACCCUGGAUUUCCUUUUCUUUCUUCAUGUUUAUUUUAAAAUCGAAUGCCCAUCUGAAAUAUAAUUCUUUGUCUUGACCCUUCAACCCUGGUUACACUGCUGGUAGACUGCAGAUCAGCUUAUCUAACAACGUUAUUUGCCUCAGCUUUCAGCAAGGCGAGAAUGCUUUUGACUGGCCGAAAAUGGCAGUGCUGGGCUCCCACGAGCAGAUGUGCAUCCAUUAAGAAGUGAGCAAACUCAGGGGAAAAGCACAGAACAAUGGUUGCCAGUUCCUCUGUAAGAAGCACAGAUGCCGUCAUAACAACAUUGUCACUGGAAAGAGGGCAUGACAAGGAGAGGCAACUAGAGGCACAACUCUUACAGAAGAAACUGGAGGAAGAGAAGGCAAGCAAAUUCAAAGCUAUUCCCCACCCCUACACAACAGACUGUCCAGAGUACAUCUCUGUUUUUUCAGAGAUGCAAAUGGAGUUCCUGGAAGCCUGUUAUCUUCUUCAGAGACCUGACUUGAAUUCGUUUUGAGACCUGACUUGAAUUCUUGCCUGGUAUCUUCUUCAGAGACCUGACUUAAAUUCUUGCCUGGUAUCUUCUUCAGAGACCUGACUUGAAUUCGUUUUGAGACCUGACUUGAAUUCUUGCCUGUUAUCUUUUUGGAGCAGAGGAGUAGAGGAGGCGCAGAACAAAUGUCAGUUAAGGACAAGUGCCUGAGCUCACUGGUUUUUACUAUAAAUGUGUAUACUUUCUAUUCUGUAUACAAGAUAUGAUGGUACUGUGCUGACAUUGGAGGAACAAGCGGCGAAUCGGGAACAAAUGAGGAAAAUUGAGAACCUUUGGUCAGACAAGUAAGAUGGAAGCCAGUAAGAUGAACCCUAUUAGAUGAACCUUGUUGUGUAUUUUAUCUAAUGGUUUCAAACCAUGUUGUUCAUGAUGUGGAGAUGAACCCUAUUGGUCAUGUAAGUUAGAUGCCUCGAUUGUGAACCCUUGAAUGUUUCAGAAUGUUGGUUUGAGACCUAGACUGCUUGGAAAUAUUGGUUUUAAACAUUGUUUAACUUAUUGAGUUUGAUGUAUGCUUGAUUGUA